ACGGGGACAGUCUGGCACACUCAGUCUGAGUCAUUCCGAGGAUACUAACGUGAAAAAGGCUUUGACGUGACUUUAUUGAAACAGCUGGUGACAAAUACGCAGUGUUUUAUUCAUAUUUAAAUCAAAUUUUCGUUUUGUAGAAGUACGAUCUUCUUGCGACGCUUACUUUUAUUUAUUUUAAAAUAAAUCAUCAGAUUUCGUAAGUUCACUAAACUUAAUGCAGGAUUUAUUUUUUGUGACAUCUAUCGCGUUUGUGUCUUUCGCGAUUCACAGGUACCGCUAAAAGCCUAGUAUAAUUCGAAGUCUAGAAUUAUAAAUCAGUUUUAACUACUUGCUCAUUAUAUUAUGCAUUGCAACCGGGAUAUUGUAUGCGCAGAUCGGGCUGAGUUUCAACGUAUACCUCUGCGUAAUGUCGAUCAAAAGAAAACGAUGUCGUGCUCAAUGACCAUUACUAGGACGACCGUCGCGACCUCCGGCACGUCUGUUUACGUGAACACGGGCUACCUUCAGACGCUGCCAGGAUUACUCAAAUUAGCGCAAUUCCUCCUUGGGAUAGCGUGCGUGGCUCUGGUUGCCUACUACAUGGACCACGGAUAUUCAACGCAAUCAUACAAACCUGAGUUAUUCUUCUUGUUGAUAUCGGUCACAUUCCUUAUAGGAACAUUCUGUUUGUUGUUGUCGUGCUUAAUAUCCUUGGCCACCGCAACUGUUAUCUCUAAAACCAUUUAUGAAGUUAUUUAUCAUGGAAUCGCAUUUAUUCUGUAUUUGUGUGCUGGACUUACUUUGCUCAUAGAAGUUAAUCACCAAACCAGAUAUAGAAGAGAUUUUGAACCGUUUUUGGCGGCUUCGAUAAUGGGUCUGGUGAUGGCUGGAUUGUAUCUUUUGAGCACCUUUUUGGCAAACCGCAGAUACCGUGGAAUAUAAGCAAGAAAACUACCAAUUUUAAUAUGAGCUUUGUCUUCGAAUUAAGUUAUAGUAAUAGCAUUCUCAGUUGCCAUAUUACUUUAAGUUACAGAUGGAAAGCGGUUAAGUUAUUUAUCGUUCGAUUUGAAAAAACUUAAUUUCAUUGUAGCGAUCUAAGUGGACUAGCGUCUCUUUAUCGCGUACAUGGAGUGGCCACAGAAUUUUCUCUAUAAGGAGUGCUAACAAAUAUAUAAUGUCCCGUUAUCUCUGGAGGGCGAAGUUACUCAUAUCACUUUUUACCACGUAUGCUCAUAAAAAGCGAAGAUGAAAAAUAUUUUUUUCGACAGUUGUGAUUCAACAGUUUCCGGUUUAUUUAUCGUUGUGUUUUUAAUUUAUGACUAAGCAGACACUAUUUUACGUGAUAUAUUGAGCAAUGCAAGUAUUGUUUCUUCCAUCUAUCCAUCAUAAUUUCUUCUUUCUAUCCAUCCAUCCAGCUCGUUUUGUAUUCUAUUUCGUCAUGAGCCCUUCUAAUAACUGUAACUACCUUACCGUAUGGUAUUCCAUAUACAAUUUAAAUCGUAAUAUCGUACCUUCGGCGAACCAUGCCGGCUAUCUUCAUUUUACAUUAGUUUUCACAAAUGGACUACAGCACUCGCCUAUAGCACUGAAAAAAAAAAGAAUUGAAGUAAAUAAAAAAAAUCAAGUCAAACAGUUUUAUUCGUAUAUUUAUAUAUUUUUAAGUUACUACUACAAACUUAGCCUAGCAUAGAAUAUAAAUUCUUAUUUAUAUUAUGAGAGUACUUAGAAGUUUAAUCGGUUACUGCGUUGUGGUUCUUUUAUACCUUGUACUGAUCUGAUAUUAACAAUAAAUCUAUAUCAAUUUCAGAGAGUUGAAAUAGGACAUUUUUUUAAUUUUUAUUAAUUGUAAAUGAAUAUUUUGUUAGAAGAUAUACUUACUAUCUACUAUGUACUAUCUACGCCCAUAGUAAGUAACGUAACAUUUUAAUUUUAGUUUGUUUUCUUGGUUAAAUAUUAUAUUAUAUUGUAAUUUUUGAUUAGUAAACUAUGUAUGAACUAGUCAUUAAACAAAAAAAUAUUGUUAUGCUGUUAGUACUUUUAUAACUUAACAUUCGGAGAUGAAAUGUAAUUAAGUAUUUACUUAUUUUGUUUAAAUUCAUAGAAGCUAACUUUUGCUUCCGAUGUUUUAUUACUUAUUAAUUAUUUAAUUAUAGAUUUCUACAGUAAAUUUAUAUCUCUCAUAUUAUAAGUAAAUAAAAGGAACUAUGAAACUGUCGAACCUUUAUAUUUACUUAAAACUCAAAAUAAAGUAGAAACAUAAAAUAUUGUUAAUUUUUUUUUUUUGUUUUAAACGGUUUGGCGCGAAAAAAUGAGAUGUACUUAAGGUCGUUCGUAUUUUUUUAUAGGCGAUAAAAUAGUGUUAUUAUUAUAAAUUGCUUUAAUAGGCAGAUGAGCAUACGAUCCACCUGAUGGUGAGUGGUGACUGAUGCGCCCGGUCUUGGUGUCUCGGGUGCAUUACAAAACAAUUUUUAUAACGUUAACUUUUUGCAAGAAAAGGUGUUGAUGGAACAAAGCAUAUAUUCUGCUCUCAACUAAUUCCUUUUUUUUACCUUCCUAUAUAAUUUAAUAUUCAUUUAUUACAAAUUUUUCAAUUAAAAAUUAAUCGAUUAAUCGAUUAAUAUUAUUUAUCUUGAAACAGCAUGUGUUAAGACUUUAAAUUAAUUCGCAAGAUGUAAAUGAUAAAAAAGUGAUUAAUUUACUUAAUUAAUUUCUUCAUUAGGAAAAGAGCUGUAACAUUUACACAGUAGCUUCAAUUUUCUUCUAGUAGAUGACAUUAAUACUUAUUAAAAUGCUAAAAAAUGUAAUGGUGCUGUAAUAAAUGUUUUUACUUUUGUAAUGAA